UUUUUUUAAACCGCGGGCGAGAGCGGCAACAGCUCAGAUUUGAAAUCUGUCCCCUCUGGGGUCCGAGUUGUAAUCUGUAGAGGAUGCUUUUGGCGACGCGCCUUCCGAGUCCCCUGGAACGGGGCGCCAGAGAGGGUGAGAGCCCCGUAUGGUUGGACGCCGAACCUCUGUAAAGCUCCUUCGACGAGUCGAGUAGUUUGGGAAUGCUGCUCAAAAUGGGAGGUAAAUGUCUUCUAAAGCUAAAUACCGGCCAGAGACCGAUAGCGCACAAGUAGAGUGAUCGAAAGAUGAAAAGCACUUUGAAAAGAGGGUUAAAUAGCACGUGAAAUUGCUGAAAGGGAAGCGCUUGUGACCAGACUUGUGCCCGGUUGAUCAUCCAGCGUUCUCGCUGGUGCACUCUGCCGGGCUCAGGCCAGCAUCGGUUCUCCCAGGGGGAUAAAGGUCGCGGGAACGUAGCUCUCUCCGGGGAGUGUUAUAGCCCGCGGCGGAAUGCCCUUAGGGGGGACCGAGGCCCGCGUUCGCAAGGAUGCUGGCGUAAUGGUCACCAGCGACCCGUCUUGAACCGCCCCAAGGGGGAAAAAAAGAG
rnacentral:rRNA from 1 species